UAAUUAAGCGGAGGAAAAGAAACUAACCAGGAUUGGCUCAGUAACGGCGAGUGAAGCGCCAAUAGCCCAGCUUGUGAAUCGGCACUUGUGCCGAAUUGUGGUCUGUAGGUCAUCUUGCUAAGCAUGCGGACGAAGUCCCCUGGAACGGGGCAGCAAAGAGGGUGAUACUCCCUUGCGUCUGCGAGCGUGAAAGGUGUACCGACGAGUCGAGUUGUUUGGGAUUGCAGCUCUAAGUGGGUGGUAAAUUCCAUCUAAGGCUAAAUACUGGUGAGAGACCGAUAGCGCACAAGUACCGUGAGGGAAAGAUGCAAAGUCGCGCGAGAGCGCUGUCAAAGAGUACCUGAAAUUGCUGAAAGGGAAGCGAAGGAAACCAGUGUUAGUCACCCCGCAUUUCCUCAUCUGCUUGCGGUUGAGGCGCUGCGGCUGGCGUUGUCCCCAUUGGCGGUGGCCUGCGGAAGAGUCUUUGACUGGCGCAACCUGCUGCUGAUGUGGACGAAAUGGUUUUC
rnacentral:rRNA from 1 species